GACGAACGCUGGCGGCGUGCUUAACACAUGCAAGUCGAACGGAAAGGCCCUGCUUUUGUGGGGUGCUCGAGUGGCGAACGGGUGAGUAACACGUGAGUAACCUGCCCUUGACUUUGGGAUAACUUCAGGAAACUGGGGCUAAUACCGGAUAGGAGCUCCUGCUGCAUGGUGGGGGUUGGAAAGUUUCGGCGGUUGGGGAUGGACUCGCGGCUUAUCAGCUUGUUGGUGGGGUAGUGGCUUACCAAGGCUUUGACGGGUAGCCGGCCUGAGAGGGUGACCGGCCACAUUGGGACUGAGAUAGGGCCCAGACUCCUGCGGGAGGCAGCAGUGGGGAAUGUUGAACAAUGGGCGGACGCCUGAUGCAGCAACGCCGCGUGCGGGAGAACGGCCUUCGGGUUGUAAACCGCUUUCGCCUGUGGCGAAGCGUGAGAGACGGUAAUGGGUAAAGAAGCACCGGCUAACUACGUG
rnacentral:rRNA from 1 species